GAGCGGUAAAUGAUUGUUUGCGGAAACAGGGAGUAGGAUUAUGCAAUGUGCAUCAAUCGGCAGCAUGUUUUCUACUCCUAUCUAAUACUCCAAAUUCAGAUGUUGGACAUUUUUGCAGCAAUGGAGAUACGCCGGCUGUCAUCGAAUAUCCCUUUCCACAGCAUCGUCACCCAUCUCGUUGCAUCGCAAUUGGAUUGCUUAGUGUAAUACAUGAUCAUCACACCACAUACUGUGAGGAGUAUACGAUCAAGUCCUGGCAACAAUUUACAUGGUCUUCUGAAGUCUCCAAUAUCUUAGAGGUACCGAGUUAAUUUUUCUACUUUCACCAGUAUUAUAAGUCAUUGUUAACAAUUAUGGUUCUCCAUUUUGCCCUUUUAGAUCUAAUCCUGUUUGAGAAAAGUAAUUACUCUUCUGUUUUGGAGCUCAAAGUAGUUUGAUAUGACCAACAAACUUUUACCAUAUAUGGUUCAUAAAGUUUUUCUAUUUUAGAAGUGAAACUUAUUGUUCCAUUAUCCCUUAUGCUAUAUUACUUGGGCUUUAUUGUUCAUCAUUACAUGUGAAAUGAAACUUAAUCAAAUAGAUUAUGCUCUUUCCUGUGGUACAUUAGUUCAAAGUUACAUGAGUUUGUUGUCUGUUUCGGACAUCUAGUGACGUUCACAUGUAUGCAUGACAGAUAUAGGAAGCGUUUUAAGUCGAUGUCGCUGCAAUUUAAUUUAAUUUGAAGUUAUUAUUUAGAUCUGUAAAUUUUCCUAAUAUUCUAUAAAUUCGAUCGAGUGUGAAUACUCUGUUUCUGAUUCGGUCUGAAAAGAGUUUGUUAUUAUUUUCUUUGUCAACGUGUUACUCUGAAAAUGAUCAGACUAUUUGAAUGACCACUUUUGGACAACUGAGGGUCAAUUAUGUGUGUCAUUUGUGUGUAUAAUGGUUAAGAUUGCUGAUGUUGGAGAUAGAUUAGUAUGCCUAGCUAUUGUCUCCCACUUCUAAUUCCAUUUUUUGAUGUUUCACACAUGACCUGUAUUGCACGUAAAACGUAAUUAUUUAGAUUCUUGUAUUCCCGAUCAGUGAUGGGAAGACUUCACCACAGUUAUUUUCUUCAAAAUAAACUAAUAGAAUUAAAAAAGUUUCCACUGAAAUGCUUCAAAACAAAGUAAAUUUAGAUUCUUGAAGGUUAUAAUGUAUUUUACUUUACAAGAAGAUAUUAGUGUAUGUAUAUUCUAUGUUUGUUUGAUCGUCAUUAUUGACUAGAUAUUCUCUUUGUGAUCAACACUGACUUGUAGAUGAUUAUAUAAGGAAAUUUCCGGAUUUGAGUGGAUAGAAUAUGAUUGUAUACCUAGACCAAAGAAAAGUAAUUUCCAAGAUCCUUCCUAAUCCCACUAUUUACUUGUAAUGUGGUAUUCGAUACGACUCUUCGUCCAAUAUCUUGUUCUUUCUCUGUGAUAGUUAUUUACCCCUUAUGAUUUUCUAUGUGAUUUUUUGUGUCACUGAAAGCAAUAUCUUAUCUUACUAUUUGGUUUGUUGUUACAUUCAUGCUGCACAAACAUUUGAAAUUCCAACCGCAGAUUCCUUUGAGAAUAGUUAAUCAAAUACCAUAAUAAGAUGAUAGCAAGAAUAGGAAUCAAUACAAUUAAUUUCUUAAAAAGUAUGUCCACUGAAGAUAUUUAUGUUUGAAACUGAUAUUGAAUGUUCUUUGUGGCCAGCUGAAAUUUUAUAUCCAGCAUUGGAGAUAUCAAAUUUAUUUAAUCGAAAAGUGUUGGGCGUCUCCCCUGAGGCCUUUUAUCUUUAUUUUCUCUCUUUAUCCGAUUAAGGCAGAGACAUGAAGGAUGUCAUUGUUAGGGCUAGGACUGUCCUGGAUCCUUAUAUAGUAGUAUAUGAGGAGAUAAGAAUCCUAGAAAUUGACUGAUUCCAUAACAUUUCUUCUUGGAAGAAUAUUAGGAAUUCUUCUUGGAGUGAUGCAGAUGCAGAUGCAGAUGCAGAUGCAGUUUUAGGAAAGCAGAUUUGAGCAUACAACUAAACACAACCAUAACCGCUUUCUGUACCUGAGAUUUAUCAUAACCUAAGGUAUAAAUCGGUGUGAGCCCAUACAUAUAUUGGCUUAAUAGUGUUUGUGCAUAUAUAUAUAUGGUUAUCACAGCACUCCUUUUUGUCUACAUGUUUCCCAUGCUCUGAACUCAUAGACUCUCCUUAUCUAUUCUACUUAGCAUAAACCAAACACGCUGAAAGAGUUUUAGUAUAGAUUGUAUUUAAACUGAAACUCAUCAGAAUAAUCAGAUUAUGCAGGAUUAUCAUCUGAAAGAUUUGGAUGCGCUAAGCAUGCUUGGGUUAUUCCAUUAUCACUAUGUAUGAAGAAACAGGUCUUUUUUUUGGGUUGCUGCAUCUAAAAGAUCAUUAGAAGUUAGAACUCGUUGCAUCUAUGCAUGCUUGCUGUUUGUUGUAACACUAUUUAAGUAGAAAUGAAUGGGAUUCAUGCAUAAAAAUGUAUGCAAGUGGAAUGAACUUUACA